CAACCUCAACUCAUAUGGGACUACCCCCUGAAUUUAAGCAUAUUAAUUAGGGGAGGAAAAGAAACUAACCAGGAUUUUCUUAGUAGCGGCGAGCGAAAAGAAAUCAGUUCAGCACUAAGUCACUUUGUCUAUAUGGCAAAUGUGAGAUGCAGUGUAUGGAACGUCAAUAUUCUAGUAUGAGAAAUUAACGAUUUAAGUCCUUCUUAAAUGAGGCCAUUUACCCAUAGAGGGUGCCAGGCCCGUAUAACGUUAAUGAUUACUAGAUGAUGUUUCCAAAGAGUCGUGUUGCUUGAUAGUGCAGCACUAAGUGGGUGGUAAACUCCAUCUAAAACUAAAUAUAACCAUGAGACCGAUAGUAAACAAGUACCGUGAGGGAAAGUUGAAAAGAACUCUGAAUAGAGAGUUAAACAGUACGUGAAACUGCUUAGAGGUUAAGCCCGAUGAACCUGAAUAUCCGUUAUGGAAAAUUCAUCAUUAAAGUUGUAAUAUUUUUAAAAUAUUAUAAUAAUAGUGUGCAUUUUUUCCAUAUAAGGACAUUGUAAUCUAUUAGCAUAUAACAAAUUUAUCAUAAAAUAUGACUUAUAGUUUAUUCAAAUUAUUAUGCUUGCAUUUUAACAUAGAAUAAAUGUCAUUAAUUUGAUAAAGUGUUGAUAAAUUAAAAUUAAUACAGUGCGUUAAUUUUUCGAAAUUAUAUAAUGGCAUAAUUAUCAUCGAUUUUUGUGUUUAUUAUAUGCAUUUGUAUGAUUAACAAUGCGAAAGAUUCAGGAUACCUUCGGGACCCGUCUUGAAACACGGACCAAGGAGUCUAACAUAUGUGCAAGUUAUUGGGAGAUAAACCUAAUAGCGUAAUUAACUUGACUAAUAAUGGGAUUAGUUUUUUAACUAUUUAUAGAUAAUUAACACAAUCCCGGGGCGUUCUAUAUAGUUAUGUAUAAUAAUAUUUAUAUUAUUUAUGCCUCUAACUGGAACGUACCUUGAGCAUAUAUGCUGUGACCCGAAAGAUGGUGAACUAUACUUGAUCAGGUUGAAGUCAGGGGAAACCCUGAUGGAAGACCGAAACAGUUCUGACGUGCAAAUCGAUUGUCAGAAUUGAGUAUAGGGGCGAAAGACCAAUCGAACCAUCUAGUAGCUGGUUCCUUCCGAAGUUUCCCUCAGGAUAGCUGGUGCAUUUUAAUGUUAUAUAAAAUAAUCUUAUCUGGUAAAGCGAAUGAUUAGAGGCCUUAGGGUCGAAACGAUCUUAACCUAUUCUCAAACUUUAAAUGGGUAAGAACCUUAACUUUCUUGAUAUGAAGUUUAAGGUUAUGAUAUAAUGUGCCCAGUGGGCCACUUUUGGUAAGCAGAACUGGCGCUGUGGGAUGAACCAAACGUAAUGUUACGGUGCCCAAAUUAACAACUCAUGCAGAAACCAUGAAAGGCGUUGGUUGCUUAAAACAGCAGGACGGUGAUCAUGGAAGUCGAAAUCCGCUAAGGAGUGUGUAACAACUCACCUGCCGAAGCAACUAGCCCUUAAAAUGGAUGGCGCUUAAGUUGUAUACCUAUACAUUACCGCUAAAGUAGAUGAUUUAUAUUACUUGUGAUAUAAAUUUUGAAACUUUAGUGAGUAGGAAGGUACAAUGGUAUGCGUAGAAGUGUUUGGCGUAAGCCUUCAUGGAGCUGCCAUUGGCACAGAUCUUGGUGGUAGUAGCAAAUAAUCGAAUGAGACCUUGGAGGACUGAAGUGGAGAAGGGUUUCGUGUGAACAGUGGUUGAUCACGAGUUAGUCGGUCCUAAGUUCAAGGCGAAAGCCGAAAAUUUUCAAGUAAAAAAUCAGUGAGUAAUAUUGUCAAAUCUUUUAUGAUUUUUAAAUACUUGAAUAAUUUUGAACGAAAGGGAAUACGGUUCCAAUUCCGUAACCUGUUGAGUAUCCGUUUGUUAUUAAAUAUGGGCCUCGUGCUCAUCCUGGCAACAGGAACGACCAUAAAGAAGCCGUCGAGAGAUAUCGGAAGAGUUUUCUUUUCUGUUUUAUAGCCGUACUACCAUGGAAGUCUUUCGCAGAGAGAUAUGGUAGAUGGGCUAGAAGAGCAUGACAUAUACUGUUGUGUCGAUAUUUUCUCCUCGGACCUUGAAAAUUUAUGGUGGGGACACGCAAACUUCUCAACAGGCCGUACCAAUAUCCGCAGCUGGUCUCCAAGGUGAAGAGUCUCUAGUCGAUAGAAUAAUGUAGGUAAGGGAAGUCGGCAAAUUAGAUCCGUAACUUCGGGAUAAGGAUUGGCUCUGAAGAUUGAGAUAGUCGGGCUUGAUUGGGAAACAAUAACAUGGUUUAUGUGCUCGUUCUGGGUAAAUAGAGUUUCUAUCAUUUAUGGUAGUUACUUGUUCCCCGGAUAGUUUAGUUACGUAGCCAAUUGUGGAACUUUCUUGCUAAAAUUUUUAAGAAUACUAAUUGGGUUAAACCAGUUAGUUCUUAUUAAUUAUAACGAUUAUCAAUUAACAAUCAAUUCAGAACUGGCACGGACUUGGGGAAUCCGACUGUCUAAUUAAAACAAAGCAUUGUGAUGGCCCUAGCGGGUGUUGACACAAUGUGAUUUCUGCCCAGUGCUCUGAAUGUCAAAGUGAAGAAAUUCAAGUAAGCGCGGGUCAACGGCGGGAGUAACUAUGACUCUCUUAAGGUAGCCAAAUGCCUCGUCAUCUAAUUAGUGACGCGCAUGAAUGGAUUAACGAGAUUCCUACUGUCCCUAUCUACUAUCUAGCGAAACCACAGCCAAGGGAACGGGCUUGGAAUAAUUAGCGGGGAAAGAAGACCCUUUUGAGCUUGACUCUAAUCUGGCAGUGUAAGGAGACAUAAGAGGUGUAGCAUAAGUGGGAGAUAUUAGAUUUCGGUUUGGUAUCGACAAUGAAAUACCACUACUCUUAUUGUUUCCUUACUUACUUGAUUAAAUGGAACGUGUAUCAUUUCCUAGCCAUUAUACGGAUAUAUUUAUUAUAUCUUAUGGUAUUGGGUUUUGAUGCAAGCUUCUUGAUCAAAGUAUCACGAGUUUGUUAUAUAAUCGCAAACAAAUUCUUUAAUGAGAAGAUGCAGUUAUGUAUUUUCAAUUUGAAAAUUUGGUAUAACUCCAAUUACUCAGGUAUGAUCCAAUUCAAGGACAUUGCCAGGUAGGGAGUUUGACUGGGGCGGUACAUCUCUCAAAUAAUAACGGAGGUGUCCCAAGGCCAGCUCAGUGCGGACAGAAACCACACAUAGAGCAAAAGGGCAAAUGCUGACUUGAUCUCGGUGUUCAGUACACACAGGGACAGCAAAAGCUCGGCCUAUCGAUCCUUUUGGUUUAAAGAGUUUUUAACAAGAGGUGUCAGAAAAGUUACCAUAGGGAUAACUGGCUUGUGGCGGCCAAGCGUUCAUAGCGACGUCGCUUUUUAUACCCGAUACUCAAAAUGAGUAUUGGGGUAUAUUAGAUUUGUGGUAAAAGUGGAUGUGUGUAACGUCCAGAAGGAAUCGUUACCGACCCCAUAAAGUAUAUAUAUUCUUGAUCAGCAUCAAUAGCCGAGUCGAUUGAGCCCUGUCUGUCUGUCCGUCUGUCCGUCCGUCCGUCCGUCCGUCCGUCCGUCCGUCCGUCCCCUUCAGUGCUCGAAGACUAUAAGAGCUAGAGCAACGAUGUUUUGGAUCCAGACUUCUGUGAUAUGUCACUGCUACAAAAAUAUUUCAAAACUUCGCCUCGCCCACUUCCGCUCCCACAAAGGACGAAAAUCUGUGGCAUUCACAAUUUUAAAGAUAUGAGAAAACCAAAAACGUAGAAUUGUAGAGAAUGACCAUAUCUUUAAGACUGCGGAAUCUGAAUUGGAUCGUAUUAUUAUUAUAGCCAGCAUCAAGAAAACAAUUUAAUUUUUUCUCGCCCUGUGUCUCUCUAACACACACGUAGCAUAGGCGGCUUUGCUUAGAGUAAAACAUUAGCGCCUAGAUAUCAGAGACUAUAAAAGCUAGAGCAACCAAAUUUGGUAUCCACACUCCUAAUAUAUCGGACCGAGACGAGUUUGUUUCAAAAUUUCGCCACUCCCCCUUCCGCCCCCGCAAAGGACGAAAAUCUGAGGAUAUUCAAAAAUCUCAGAGACUAUUAAGGCUAGAGUAACCAAAUUUGGUAUCCGCACUUCUGUUAGAUCUUACUAUAAAACGUGUAUCUCAAAAUUUCGCCCCACCUUCUUCCGCCCACACAAAGCACGAAAAUCUGUUGCAUCCACAAUAUUGCACAUUCGAGAAAACUAAAAACGCAGAAUCAUAGAUAAUGACCAUAUCUAUCAGAUUGCUGAAUCUGGAUCAGAUCAGAUCAUUUUUAUAGCCAAUAGGAACAAAUCAAUUUGCAGUGGUUACGCAGCGCCCGACGUCACGCUCAGACUGAUUUUCUGUCUCUCUCGCACGCACUCUUUGUCGUGUCGUUUAAUAUUAGCGGCGUCUGCCGGAGGAGAGCCAUACUGACUUAGUAUCGGGUAUAACCGUAGAGUUGCGGUGUCCGCAGCAACUCACAACGUUCCCCCUCGUUGAUCCUUCGAUGUCGGCUCUUCCUAUCAUUGUGAAGCAAAAUUCACCAAGCGUUGGAUUGUUCACCCAUGCAAGGGAACGUGAGCUGGGCUUAGACCGUCGGGAGACAUGUUAGUUUUACCCUACUAAUGACAAAACGUUGUUGCGACAGCAUUCCUGCGUAGUACGAGAGGAACCGCAGGUACGGACCAAUGGCACAAUACUUGUUCGAGCGAACAGUGGUAUGACGCUACGUCCGUUGGAUUAUGCCUGAACGCCUCUAAGGUCGUAUCCGUGCUGGACUGCAAUGAUAAAUAAGGGGCAAUUUGCAUUGUAUGGCUUCUAAACAAUUAAAAGUUUAUAAUUUAUUGUAUAAACGACAAUGGAUGUGAUGCCAAUGUAAUUUGUAACAUACUAAAUUGGGAGGAUCAUCGAUCACCUGAUACCGCGCUGGUUGUAUAUAAAAACAUUAUUUAACACAAUGACAAAGUCUAGAAUCAAUUGUAAACGACUUUUGUAACAGGCAAGGUGUUGUAAGUGGUUGAGCAGCUGCCAUACUGCGAUCCACUGAAGCUUAUCCUUUGCUUGAUGAUUCGA